rnacentral:rRNA from 1 species
UACGGGGGGGGCAAGCGUUGUUCGGAAUUACUGGGCGUAAAGGGCUCGUAGGCGGCCAACUAAGUCAGACGUGAAAUCCCCAGGCUCAACCUGGGAACUGCGUCUGAUACUGGAUGGCUUGAAUCCGGGAGAGGGAUGCAGAAUUCCAGGUGUAGCGGUGAAAUGCUUAGAUAUCUGGAGGAAUACCGGUGGCGAAGGCGGCAUCCUGGACCGGCAUUGACGCUGAGGAGCGAAAGCCAGGGGAGCAAACGGG